UUAUUUUGUGUUGGGGCCACAUCCGGUGGUGCUCAGUGGUUCCUCCUGGCUCUGCACUCAAAAAUUACUCCUGGCAGUGCUGGGGGACCAAAUGGGAUGCCAAGGAUCCAACCUGAGUGGGCUGCAUUCUAGGCAAGCUUCCUACCUGCUGUGCUAUUGCUCUGAUCCAGUGUCUGAUACAUUUUUAUUCUCCCUCAAGAGAAGCUGUUCACAAGGCAGUUGAACCGAUGUCCUCAGCUGGAAGUCCCAGAGCACUGGGGCAUUUCUGACACUCAGAGGGCAUGUGACAGCACCAGGGCACCAGGGCACACACAUAUGUAUUCACCGUGUUUCCUCAAAGGCAGGGAUCUAACUUAUCUCCCCAGUAUCCUGCACAGAGUUCAACUUUAGUUUUUCAUAUUUAUAUUUCAUGAAUUAAAAAUCAUCCUGAAAAACAAGUACCCUAAAAUCAAAAACUUUUAUAACGGCCCCUUAUCUGAGCUUGUUCUUCAUGACAAAUGUCAGCCCACUUGUCAGAUCCAGUUGCUGAUUAGAAUAAAUAAAUAUACAGUACCG